GCCUAAAGCGUCCGUAGCCUGUUUUGUCAGUUUUCGGUUAAAUCCAUACGCUUAACGUAUGGGCUGCCGGAAAUACUGCAAAACUAGGGAGUGGGAGAGGUAGACGGUACUCGGGAGGAAGGGGUAAAAUCCUUUGAUCUCUCGAUGACCACCUGUGGCGAAGGCGGUCUACCAGAACACGUCCGACGGUGAGGGAUGAAAGCUGGGGGAGCAAACCGGAUUAGAUACCCGGGUAGUCCCAGCUGUAAACUAUGCAAACUCAGUGAUGCAUUGGCUUGAUGCUAAUGCAGUGUUGCAGGGAAGCCGUUAAGUUUGCCGCCUGGGAAGUACGUACGCAAGUAUGAAACUUAAAGGAAUUGGCGGGGGAGCACCACAAGGGGUGAAGCCUGCGGUUCAAUUGGAGUCAACGCCAGAAAUCUUACCCGGAGAGACAGCAGAAUGAAGGUCAAGCUGAAGACUUUACCAGACAAGCUGAGAGGUGGUGCAUGGCCGUCGCCAGCUCGUGCCGUGAGAUGUCCUGUUAAGUCAGGUAACGAGCGAGAUCCUUGCCUCUAGUUGCCACCAUUACUCUCAGGAGUAGUGGGGCGAAUUAGCGGGACCGCCGUAGUUAAUACGGAGGAAGGAAGGGGCCACGGCAGGUCAGUAUGCCCCGAA
rnacentral:rRNA from 1 species